rfam:Myotis lucifugus cont2.5925, whole genome shotgun sequence.
GAGACACCCUUAUGGCGUAGGACUUGCUUCAGUGGGGCUUUGGUGCUCACUGAGUCUGCUUCUUGAGUGUGUUUCU